UGGGAUGUAGCUCAAUUUGUAGAGUGCUUGCUUGGCAUGCAUAAGGCCCUGGGUUCAAUCCCCAGGACCCAG
rnacentral:tRNA from 1 species